GUCCACGCCGUAAACGAUGAAGACUAGGUGUUGGAGGAAUUGACCCCUUCAGUGCCGACGCUAACGCAUUAAGUCUUCCGCCUGGGGAGUACGGCCGCAAGGUUAAAACUCAAAGAAAUUGACGGGGGCCCGCACAAGCGGUGGAGCAUGUGGUUUAAUUCGACGCAACGCGAAGAACCUUACCUGGGCUUGACAUCCGCGGAAGUCGGUGGAGACAUCGACGUGCCUUCGGGAGCCGCGAGACAGGUGCUGCAUGGCUGUCGU
rnacentral:rRNA from 1 species